AAGAAGAAAAGAAGGCUAGACAUCUUAAACAAUGAAGACAGAAGGAUUUAUCAUAUAAGAUGAAUAAAGGAAAAGUAAGACCAGUAAACCAAAACAGGACCAAAUAGGCCAUGACUGAAGUUCAAGUGCAAUCUGCAAGAAAGUAGACAGCCUAGAUUUUGUUCUUUUCAAGGUUGAGAAGGGAUGCCAUAUUUUAGGUUUGAAACCAGGCAAGUGAAAGCUGAAUUCCAACCUACUUCAACAUACUUGUACCCACUGUCUUCAAGAUAUCAGUGUUUGAGAUGUCAAAGUUCAAAUAUAAUAGGAACAUGUUUAUCAUAUUUAUGUGAUGGCGCUGUAUAACAAUAUGUUUUAGAACUUAUCAAGCUUUUUCCUGUACCUUGCCAAAAAAACUCAACUCAGCAUAAUUCUCAUUAACUAAUCAUCAGUGUUAAUUGCGUAUGUCAAUGUAGGUCAUUACUGGUACAUGCCUGACCAACAAAAACUCUAAAAUUGAAAAAUCAGAGACAAGAUUUUCAGAGCAGCAGAAACAGUAGAAUUUGUCACGUAAAUCUAAUGAUAUGUACCGUAGUUGAGAAUACAUGUACUCUAAAUGUUGCAUACAUAAAAAAUAAAAAAGCGAAAAGUUCUCUUGUUUUCAGAAUU